GGGGGUAGCUGGAGCGACCAGGCGCACCCAGAAACCCUUUGUGAACUUAUACCUUACUGUUGCCUCGGCGCUAGCUGGUCCUUCGGGGCCCCUCACCCUCGGGUGUUGAGACAGCCCGCCGGCGGCCAACCUAACUCUUGUUUUUACACUGAAACUCUGAGAAUAAAACAUAAAUGAAUCAAAACUUUCAACAACGGAUCUCUUGGUUCUGGCAUCGAUGAAGAACGCAGCGAAAUGCGAUAAGUAAUGUGAAUUGCAGAAUUCAGUGAAUCAUCGAAUCUUUGAACGCACAUUGCGCCCUCUGGUAUUCCGGAGGGCAUGCCUGUUCGAGCGUCAUUUCAACCCUCAAGCCUGGCUUGGUGAUGGGGCACUGCUUCUUACCCAAGAAGCAGGCCCUGAAAUUCAGUGGCGAGCUCGCCAGGACCCCGAGCGCAGUAGUUAAACCCUCGCUCUGGAAGGCCCUGGCGGUGCCCUGCCGUUAAACCCCCAACUUCUGAAAAUUUGACCUCGGAUCAGGUAGGAAUACCCGCUGAACUUAAGCAUAUCAAUAGCCCGGAGGAA
rnacentral:rRNA from 1 species